GACGAACGCUGGCGGCGUGCUUAACACAUGCAAGUCGAACGAAGUGGCGAACGGGUGAGUAACGCGUAAUCAACCUGCCUUUCAGUGGGGGACAACAGUUGGAAACGACUUCUAAUACCGCAUACUGAAGGUGGGGAUUGCGUCUGAUUAGCUAGCUGGAGGGGUAACGGCCCACCAAGGCGAUGAUCAGUAGCCGGUCUGGUAGGGUGAACGGCAACAUUGGGACGUGGACACGGACAAGACUCCUACGGGAGGCAGCAGUGGGGAAUCUUCCGCAAUGGACGGAAGUCUGACGGAGCAACGCCGCGUGAGUGAUGACGGCUUUCGGGUUGUAAAGCUCUGUUAAUCGGGACGCGGUACCGGAAUAGAAAGCCACGGCUAACUACGUGCCAGCAGCCGCGGUAAUAC
rnacentral:rRNA from 1 species